GAUGAACGCUGGCGGCGUGCCUAAUACAUGCAAGUCGAGCGAACGGACGAGAAGCUUGCUUCUCUGAUGUUAGCGGCGGACGGGUGAGUAACACGUGGAUAACCUACCUAUAAGACUGGGAUAACUUCGGGAAACCGGAGCUAAUACCGGAUAAUAUUUUGAACCGCAUGGUUCAAAAGUGAAAGACGGUCUUGCUGUCACUUAUAGGUGGAUCCGCGCUGCAUUAGCUAGUUGGUAAGGUAACGGCUUACCAAGGCAACGAUGCAUAGCCGACCUGAGAGGGGGAUCGGCCACACUGGAACUGAGACACGGUCCAGACUCCUACGGGGGGCAGCAGUAGGGAAUCUUCCGCAAUGGGCGAAAGCCUGACGGAGCAACGCCGCGUGAGUGAUGAAGGUCUUCGGAUCGUAAAACUCUGUUAUUAGGGAAGAACAUAUGUGUAAGUAACUGUGCACAUCUUGACGGUACCUAAUCAGAAAGCCACGGCUAACUACGUG
rnacentral:rRNA from 1 species